rnacentral:rRNA from 1 species
GGAUGCGAUCAUACCAGCACUAAAGCACCGGAUCCCAUCAGAACUCUGCAGUUAAGCGUGCUUGGGCGAGAGUAGUACUUGGAUGGGUGACCUCUCGGAAAGUCUUCAUGUUGCAUCCU